rnacentral:rRNA from 1 species
GAUGAACGCUGGCGGCGUGCCUAAUACAUGCAAGUCGAGCGAACGGACGAGAAGCUUGCUUCUCUGAUGUUAGCGGCGGACGGGUGAGUAACACGUGGAUAACCUACCUAUAAGACUGGGAUAACUUCGGGAAACCGGAGCUAAUACCGGCUAAUAUUUUGAACCGCAUGGUUCAAAAGUGAAAGACGGUCUUGCUGUCACUUAUAGAUGGAUCCGCGCUGCAUUAGCUAGUUGGUAAGGUAACGGCUUACCAAGGCAACGAUGCAUAGCCGACCUGAGAGGGUGAUCGGCCACACUGGAACUGAGACACGGUCCAGACUCCUACGGGAGGCAGCAGUAGGGAAUCUUCCGCAAUGGGCGAAAGCCUGACGGAGCAACGCCGCGUGAGUGAUGAAGGUCUUCGGAUCGUAAAGCUCUGUUAUUAGGGAAGAAGAUAGGUGUAAGUAACUGUGCACAUCUUGACGGUACCUACUCAGAAAGCCACGGCUAACUACGUG